rnacentral:rRNA from 1 species
GACGAACGCUGGCGGCGUGCUUAACACGUGCAAGUCGAACGGAAAGGCCCUGCUUGCAGGGUGCUCGAGUGGCGAACGGGUGAGUAACACGUGGGUGAUCUGCCCCUUACUUUGGGAUAAGCCUGGGAAACUGGGUCUAAUACUGGAUAGGACCAUGCUGUAGGUGGUGUGGUGGAAAGAUUAGUUUCGGUAAGGGAUGAGCUCGCGGCCUAUCAGCUUGUUGGUGGGGUAAUGGCCUACCAAGGCGUCGACGGGUAGCCGGCCUGAGAGGGUGGACGGCCACAUUGGGACUGGGAUACGGCCCAGACUCCUACGGGAGGCAGCAGUGGGGAAUAUUGCACAAUGGGCGCAAGCCUGAUGCAGCGACGCCGCGUGGGGGAUGACGGCCUUCGGGUUGUAAACUCCUUUCAGCCAUGACGAAGCCCUUGUGGUGACGGUAGUGGUAGAAGAAGCACCGGCUAACUACGUG